rnacentral:ncRNA from 1 species
UGAAAAAUGAAGAGACGAAUUAGUAACUAAUCAUUUGUUGUCCAGAAACUGAGUGGGGGCUGUGAACUCAGAGCAAGUGGUGGUGAACUCAUCGUCGAAUGCCUGGUCGAAUUUGAGUAAGCCAGGUCGGUUUUAUCGCCGUUAUCGGUUUUGAGUGCUCAUUUUAUUGUAAAUGAGAAUAUAGGUGGUACCGCGAUAAAUCGUCCUAUAA